UCCCAAAAUGAUCUGCAAUGAAUCCGUACUUUCUGAAUCCACUCCCUUGGCUUUUUAUAAACGUUCAAGCUUGCUCUCCAAGCUUUGGGAGACGUGGAUUGAAGUGGUGGCUAAGUUGAUGUGUGGUUUGUUGAGAGUGGUUAGGUUUUCCACAAAAGUAGGAACAACGUUAAUCACCCCAUUCUUCCUUCUCCACGUCUGCUCUUAUCAUAUCUCAGCCUUGCACUUUCUCUUCCUUGAUUUUAGGAUCCACCAACAAACAUUAAACCUUAUGCAAAAACAAAAACGUGAAGAAUGGCAAAACACAAAACAAAAAUCCCUAUAAAGUAGGUUAGUUAAAAUGGAGUUGAAAA
rnacentral:lncRNA from 1 species